GGGGCUAAACCAUGCACCGAAGCUGCGGCAGCGAACGUAUCACCCAAGACAACUUUACGGAGUUGACGAUUGACGGAGCGAAGCGACGUCAAAGCGUUCAUUAAAGUCGAGUUGGCUUAGGGAUACGUUCGUUGGGUAGGGGAGCGUUCUGUAAGCCUGUGAAGGUGUGUCGUGAGGCAUGCUGGAGGUAUCAGAAGUGCGAAUGCUGACAUAAGUAACGAUAAAGCGGGUGAAAAGCCCGCUCGCCGGAAGACCAAGGGUUCCUGUCCAACGUUAAUCGGGGCAGGGUGAGUCGACCCCUAAGGCGAGGCCGAAAGGCGUAGUCGAUGGGAAACGGGUUAAUAUUCCCGUACUUGGUGUUACUGCGAAGGGGGGACGGAGAAGGCUAUGUUGGCCGGGCGACGGUUGUCCCGGUUUAAGCGUGUAGGUGUGUGUUCCAGGUAAAUCCGGUUCACUUUAACACUGAGGCGUGACGACGAGGCACUACGGUGCUGAAGCAACAAAUGCCCUGCUUCCAGGAAAAGCCUCUAAGCAUCAGGUAACAUCAAAUCGUACCCCAAACCGACACAGGUGGUCAGGUAGAGAAUACCAAGGCGCUUGAGAGAACUCGGGUGAAGGAACUAGGCAAAAUGGUGCCGUAACUUCGGGAGAAGGCACGCUGACACGUAGGUGAAGUGAUUUACUCAUGGAGCUGAAGUCAGUCGAAGAUACCAGCUGGCUGCAACUGUUUAUUAAAAACACAGCACUGUGCAAACACGAAAGUGGACGUAUACGGUGUGACGCCUGCCCGGUGCCGGAAGGUUAAUUGAUGGGGUCAGCGCAAGCGAAGCUCCUGAUCGAAGCCCCGGUAAACGGCGGCCGUAACUAUAACGGUCCUAAGGUAGCGAAAUUCCUUGUCGGGUAAGUUCCGACCUGCACGAAUGGCGUAAUGAUGGCCAGGCUGUCUCCACCCGAGACUCAGUGAAAUUGAACUCGCUGUGAAGAUGCAGUGUACCCGCGGCAAGACGGAAAGACCCCGUGAACCUUUACUAUAGCUUGACACUGAACAUUGAGCCUUGAUGUGUAGGAUAGGUGGGAGGCUUUGAAGUGUGGACGCCAGUCUGCAUGGAGCCGACCUUGAAAUACCACCCUUUAAUGUUUGAUGUUCUAACGUGGACCCGUAAUCCGGGUUGCGGACAGUGUCUGGUGGGUAGUUUGACUGGGGCGGUCUCCUCCUAAAGAGUAACGGAGGAGCACGAAGGUUGGCUAAUCCUGGUCGGACAUCAGGAGGUUAGUGCAAUGGCAUAAGCCAGCUUGACUGCGAGCGUGACGGCGCGAGCAGGUGCGAAAGCAGGUCAUAGUGAUCCGGUGGUUCUGAAUGGAAGGGCCAUCGCUCAACGGAUAAAAGGUACUCCGGGGAUAACAGGCUGAUACCGCCCAAGAGUUCAUAUCGACGGCGGUGUUUGGCACCUCGAUGUCGGCUCAUCACAUCCUGGGGCUGAAGUAGGUCCCAAGGGUAUGGCUGUUCGCCAUUUAAAGUGGUACGCGAGCUGGGUUUAGAACGUCGUGAGACAGUUCGGUCCCUAUCUGCCGUGGGCGCUGGAGAACUGAGGGGGGCUGCUCCUAGUACGAGAGGACCGGAGUGGACGCAUCACUGGUGUUCGGGUUGUCAUGCCAAUGGCACUGCCCGGUAGCUAAAUGCGGAAGAGAUAAGUGCUGAAAGCAUCUAAGCACGAAACUUGCCCCGA
rnacentral:rRNA from 1 species